AAUCAUACGACUUUGUGCGCAUUUUGCUAUUAUGUGUUCUUUUAAUUAAAAUGAUUCUUUUUAAGGACUUUCUUUGCUUCGGCUUGGAAGUA
rnacentral:rRNA from 1 species